UAAAACUUGAUAUCAGCCUUGAUAUGUUUCACUUUAUACUUAUCACUUGGCAGUUUGAGAAAUAUCUUUCCUGUUCUAAUAAAAAGAAUAUUAAGAAUAUAGCUGAAACGUGUCCAACUCUAGGUCACUUUAGAUUGUAAGGUGGACACAUCACACUGCAACAUAUGUCGUGCUGCAGUUAUAAUUAUUUAGAUAAAUGACAAAACUGGCCUCUGUAGAUCAUGCUUUGAUUUUAAUGCCAUUUGAGGACUAACUGUUGCUAAAAGCUGUACCUUUUACGUGGAGUGUUGUAUUGGUUGAAUAUGCACUGGUGAGAUUAUGUAAUGAAUAUACCUGGGUGUAAAUUAUUGCAGGCAUCUGAAUUUUAAAUCUAGAUAACAUAGGUUGUCUGCUUUACUGAAUAUGCUCACAGCUCACCUAACACAAUCUCUUGGUGAUAAUAAAAGUACUGUAUGAAUACUAAAAAAUAUUAAUUCUCAUGCAGAUUUGAAGAUGAUAAAAGUGUUUCCAACAUAUCUGAAAACUAUGGGAAGAAUAUACCAGUGGGGAACGAGUCACCCUUAACUUGUACAUAGGUGAAAUUGUUUCCCUUAUUUGUGAAGGCAUGUCAUCAUCAUCAUAGGCAAGUAAAAGAAAAUCUUCCCAGGCUAUAUGAACAGGUUAUAAAAGCGUUUGGCAAUCCAGAUUUCUUGAAUAUGGUAUUUCCUUUGUUGUUUGAUAUGACCAAGUCAGCACCCUGAAAUCUGGGCAGCAACCUUUGGCCGGUGAUACUACAAAAACAAGUGAUGACAAGUUCUAGAUUUUCAUUUAUAUGUUGCUAUUCUUUUUACUCGUUAGAUAGUUUAUGACCGAUGGAGGGUACUCCAAUAAUUAGUAGCAAAAGGAAGAAAAACUAUAUAUAGAAAUUUUAAGAAAGAUUUGAGAUUUCCAUGGUCUGUUUAUCUAUUUGGUUUAUCUUUGGAUACUAUAUGGCAAUGGCGUUUGGUUUAUGAUGUUGAUGCCAUAGACUGUACAAACUUUUUUACUGAUAUAUCUUCUUUGCAGAUUCGGACAGUGAAGAAAUUUUGGUUCCGCAUACCAAACUUGUGGUGUGUCUAACCUCUUGCAUCCAUGUGGCUAAUACCAAUAUAAGUGAUAUUCUUGAAAAUCAAGAGCUUAAUCCUCCUGUACGCAGUAUUUACCGAUUUCAGCCAUUGUUAGAUGUAUUUAUGAGAGGUUGCAGCAGUUAUUUGUCAGGAAGGGUAGAGAGGCACAAGCACAAAUGGCAGUCGGUAAUCGGUUUUCUGAGUAGCUACUAGCUGCUGUUGAGAAGGACAGGGAAAAAAUUCUCAAGAUGUGUGUUACACACUGUGACAACAGGGCCUCAGUAUUUAUGGUAUUUUCUAGCUGAAAUUGAGAAGUUUGAGCAAAAGUCUGAUUUAGAGACAG